AUUAUUGGGCGUAAAGAGGGAGCAGGCGGCGGCAGAGGUCUGUGGUGAAAGACUGAAGCUUAACUUCAGUAAGCCAUAGAAACCGGGCUGCUAGAGUGCAGGAGAGGAUCGUGGAAUUCCAUGUGUAGCGGUGAAAUGCGUAGAUAUAUGGAGGAACACCAGUGGCGAAGGCGACGGUCUGGCCUGUAACUGACGCUCAUUCCCGAAAGCGUGGGGAGCAAAUAGGAUUAGAUACCCUAGUAGUCCACGCCGUAAACGAUGAGUACUAAGUGUUGGGAGUCAAAUUUCAGUGCUGCAGUUAACGCAAUAAGUACUCCGCCUGAGUAGUACGUUCGCAAGAAUGAAACUCAAAGGAAUUGACGGGGGCCCGCACAAGCGGUGGAGCAUGUGGUUUAAUUCGAAGCAACGCGAAGAACCUUACCAGGUCUUGACAUCCGGAUAAAGACCUCAGAGAUGAGGGGAUAGAUAUAUCCGAGACAGGUGGUGCAUGGUUGUCGUCAGCUCGUGUCGUGAGAUGUUGGGUUAAGUCCCGCAACGAGCGCAACCCUUGUCGCUAGUUACCAUCAUUAAGUUGGGGACUCUAGCGAGACUGCCAGUGACAAGCUGGAGGAAGGCGGGGAUGACGUCAAAUCAUCAUGCCCCUUAUGACCUGGGCUACACACGUGCUACAAUGGAUGGAGCAGAGGGAAGCGAAGCCGCGAGGUGAAGCAAAACCCAUAAAACCAUUCUCAGUUCGGAUUGUAGUCUGCAACUCGACUACAUGAAGUUGGAAUCGCUAGUAAUCGCGAAUCAGCAUGUCGCGGUGAAUACGUUCUCGGGCC
rnacentral:rRNA from 1 species